UGAGGAAUAUUCGGCAAUGGGGGCAACCCUGACCGAGCAACGCCGCGUGGAGGAUGACGGUUUUUGGAUUGUAAACUCCUUUUCUCAGGGAAGAGUGAGGACGGUACCUGAGGAAUAAGUCACGGCUAACUACGUGCCAGCAGCCGCGGUAAUACGUAGGUGGCAAGCGUUAUCCGGAAUUACUGGGCGUAAAGCGCACGCAGGCGGUUGGAUAAGAUUGACGUGAAAGCUUCUGGCUUAACCGGAAGAAGUCGUUGAUGACUGUCCGACUUGAGACGAGGAGAGGGGUGCAGAAUUCCCGGUGUAGUGGUGGAAUGCGUAGAGAUCGGGAGGAAUACCAGUGGCGAAAGCGGCACCCUGGCCUUAGUCUGACGCUCAGGUGCGAAAGCGUGGGGAGCGAACGGG
rnacentral:rRNA from 1 species